rnacentral:lncRNA from 1 species
CGGAUGUAAAACAGAGGGAAGAAGAGCUCCUGUGGUGUUGGAGGAAGCAGAAAAGGGAGUGGCAACUCCAGACUCUGGGGCAGAAAGGAAGGUACGAUUUCCAAAGCAGACCUGGACCAGGGCCUCAGCAGAACACAGCCCGUGAGCAAUGGUGUCAGUUAUGGAUCAACUUCGAGUCACACGAAAGAUACAAGCAC